CUGGCUCCAUCAUCUAAAGUGUUAAAAAUAAAGGGGGCUCUUGGGUCCCACCAUAAGAGCACAUAAAGAGGAGAGGUACAAUGACCGUCCUCUGCCAUUGUAGGGCUCUCUAAUUUAUGCAUCGUUAGAUCCUUUAAAGCGUCAUUUUGUAGGCAACCUAACGGACACUUCCAAAUUAGCUCAAAGUAUACAAAUCCAAAGAAGAGGUACAGCACGCAGAGAGAGAGAUGCUGACUUGUUCCUCUAAGUGACGACAGAUGGAAAAAGGAUUCACUCAUUCAUAGAAUUCCAAACCAGAAACUGACCGUUCAACAGGAUCAAGUUCAUGGAAUCAAAGGAUUUUUUUUUUUGCUGGAAAUAUUUGUGGGUGCCCAAAGACACAAGAGGCUGUCAGAUCUCCUGGAACCUGAGUUAAAGGUGAUUGUGAUUCACCUGACAUGGUGCUGGGAACAAAACAUGGGUCCUCUUCAAGAGCUGCCAGCAUCUCUAACUGCGAGGCCAUCUCUCCUGCUUGUAAAAAUGAUGAAUGCAAAACAAAUGGAGUUGAUUGAAAGAAGAAACUGCAUCUCAGAUGUUUUCAUGGAAACCUGCUGAAGAGUGGUCAUAUCUGUGGCCAGGCUGCAUCUCCAGUCUGGGCAGAACUAAUUGGGUUCAGAGCUGAUGGCAGUCAAGCAGAUCUCUCAUGAUUGUUUAGAGUGCCAGGAUCAUAGAGAGAGGAACAAAAUAAUGAAAACUUUUUUUUUUUAAAUUUCAGUAAAAUUCAAAGGUAGUCCUUUGAAAUGAUAAAAUAGAGUUGUAGUCAGGAAACAAAAGAGCUGUUACAAACCACAAAGGGGUAAACAGUUGCAGGUGCAGAGAACAGGAGUUCGAAGAUAAUUCUAUGGGAAGACAGAGACCUGCGAAGCACGGUGCCACGAAGCACUGGCACAGAAAAACACACACAGAUCUGCCUGCUGCCAUGCCAGGUGGGCUGUAAGUGCUGACAAAGGAGGUCAGCUAGGAGUCUGCCAGCUGCGUGGCCUCUGCAGUAGGAGUCACUACAAGGUGCAAGGAUGUGGUAGACAGAUGGGAGAGAAAGAGAAGUGGAACAGUUUGAGCAGGAUCUCCAUGACACAGGGUAACAAUAGAACAACCAGGAGGUGUCCCGGUGAGGAUCCAAUAUUGAUGGUGUGACAGAAGCCAGAGACCUUGAACCAAACCAAUGGCUCAUUGCAAUGAACAUUUGCAAGUGAAGAUGUGUGGACAAAGGGGUAUACUGUGAGACACACUGUGACAUACUAUAACUUCAACAAUGAGAUAUUUUCUAUGCUUUGUUUUUAGUUUUUGGUCCGUUUGUGUGUUUUUUAUUGGUGGGGGGGGAAGGUUGCAAGGGUGGAUAUGGGGAGAUGAAUGGGCCUGGUGUGCAUGAUAUGAAACUCAUAAAUCAAUAAAAAGUCUUAAAAACUA